UUCAUGCCAGGGGGCGCCAAACUAGCCACGUGCCUUAGGUCCCCGCGUGACUGAAGGUGCGUGGGAGGUGAGAAGAGUGCCGCGCGCCGCCAGCCGUCUCCUGAGUGCCACAAAACUCUGUGAAAAUGCCAUCGAAAGCAACUUAGAGGCUCGGAAGUAUGUGAAAAUAUCACGACGGAAUUACAGGGACACCACUGCACUACAAAGACGAAACCCAGUAACUACGCUGACAGUGAAAUUGAGAAAAAGGGCUUCGAAGUUUGACGACUGUCCAUCUGUAUGUGUAGUAGUUGUAGGUCGUGGAGCACCAGAGGAAGCCAUCGUCGCGGCCUUGGGCUGUGCAGCUUGUGUACUCCUUGUCCAUGAAGAGGAAGGGAAACUUGCAGAACUCACCAUCAGCAUUUCCAAACUUCACCUUCACAACUAAG